rnacentral:rRNA from 1 species
UACGCAGGUCCCGAGCGUUGUUCGGAAUCACUGGGCGUAAAGGGAGCGUAGGCGGCGUGGUAAGUCAGAUGUGAAAUCCCGGGGCUCAACCCCGGAACUGCAUCCGAUACUGCCGUGCUUGAGGGUUGGAGAGGUAGCUGGAAUUAUCGGUGUAGCAGUGAAAUGCGUGGAUAUCGAUAGGAACACUCGUGGCGAAGGCGAGCUACUGGACAACAUCUGACGCUGAGGCUCGAAGGCUAGGGGAGCAAAAGGG